rnacentral:rRNA from 1 species
AACGAACGCUGGCGGCGCGUCUUACCCAUGCAAGUCGAGCGGCAGGCAGCAAUGCCGAGAGCGGCGGACUGGUGAGUAACACGUGGAUAACGUACCCCGAUGUCCGGGACAGCCUGUAGAAAUAGAGGGUAAUACCGGAUAGAUCACUGUUUACGUGAGGUAGACAGCGGGAAAGGAGCUUCGGCUCCGCGACGGGAUCGGUCUGCGGCCCAUCAGCUGGACGGCGGGGUAAAGGCCCGCCGUGGCGAGGACGGGUAUCCGGCCUGAGAGGGCGGACGGACACAGUGGGACUGAGAUACGGCCCAGACUCCUACGGGAGGCAGCAGGUAAGAAUAUUCCGCAAUGGGGGGAACCCUGACGGAGCGACGCCGCGUGAACGAAGAAGGCCGGAAGGUGGUAAAGUUCUUUUCUGUCCGAGGAAUAAGUUUCGGAGGAAAUGCCGGGACGGUGACGGUAGGGCAGGAAUAAGCACCGGCUAAUUACGU